rnacentral:rRNA from 1 species
GACGAACGCUGGCGGCGUGCUUAACACAUGCAAGUCGAACGGAAAGGCCCUGCUUUUGUGGGGUGCUCGAGUGGCGAACGGGUGAGUAACACGUGAGUAACCUGCCCUUGACUUUGGGAUAACUUCAGGAAACUGGGGCUAAUACCGGAUAGGAGCUCCUGCUGCAUGGUGGGGGUUGGAAAGUUUCGGCGGUUGGGGAUGGACUCGCGGCUUAUCAGCUUGUUGGUGGGGUAGUGGCUUACCAAGGCUUUGACGGGUAGCCGGCCUGAGAGGGUUACCGGCCACAUUGGGACUGAGAUACGGCCCAGACUCCUACGGGAGGCAACAGUGGGGAAUAUUGCACAAUGGGCGGAAGCCUGAUGCAGCAACGCCGCGUGCGGGAUGACGGCCUUCGGGUUGUAAACCGCUUUCGCCUGUGACGAAGCGUGAGUGACGGUAAUGGGUAAAGAAGCACCGGCUAACUACGU